CUUGUUGACACUUUGAAUGAACGCAUCUAUUUCUUAAUCUUCAUGCAAGUAGUAUAUAUAUUUUUACCAAGAGGAAGCAAAGCAUGCGUUAGCUAGACAGAGGAAAAAUUCUUCAUGCACAGUUCCAUGUGGCAACUGGAGGUAGAAGUUGAAGCAUGUUCCUCAGAAACUUCAUUCUUUUUGGAUCCAUUAUCAAGAAGAGUAAUUUGUUCAGCCACAUGA
rnacentral:lncRNA from 1 species